ACCCACCCGGUGCUCUCCUGAUGUUAAAUUAAGCGUACCCGGUUCUGAAGUACCCCUCAGUGCAGUGUGCAUUCGGGGCGGUGCUCAACGUGGGCGGUGUCACAGACGUGACGUUCACAUCUGGCUGAACAUUCUGCUUUAGUUAUAAUCCACAAGUUGCCGUUAAACUUGCCGUUAGACAUAUCUGUCCUAUCUGUCCUCAGAGGUACGAUGUGGAACUGCUGUGGUCUGCGAUCUUCCCAGAAGGAACCAGUUCCUCUGAAGAGCGUGGAGGUGGAGCUGGAGGUGAGGGACCAUGUGGCUACAGUGGUCUCCACUCUGAACUAUGAGAACAAG